AACCUUUACACUGUACGCAAGUGCGAUAAGGGGACUCCGAGUGUGAAGGCAUAGAGCCUUCACUUUUGUACACCGUAAGGUGGUGUACGAAUAAGGGCUGGGCAAGACCGGUGCCAGCCGCCGCGGUAAUACCGGCAGCCCGAGUGAUGGCCGAUUUUAUUGGGCCUAAAGCGUCCGUAGCUGGCCGCACAAGUCCAUCGGAAAAUCCACCCGCUCAACGGGUGGGCGUCCGGUGGAAACUGUGUGGCUUGGGACCGGAAGGCGCGACGGGUACGUCCGGGGUAGGAGUGAAAUCCCGUAAUCCUGGACGGACCGCCGAUGGCGAAAGCACGUCGCGAGAACGGAUCCGACAGUGAGGGACGAAAGCUAGGGUCUCGAACCGGAUUAGAUACCCGGGUAGUCCUAGCCGUAAACAAUGCCUGCUAGGUGUGGCUCCCACUACGAGUGGGUGCUGUGCCGUAGGGAAGCCGCUAAGCAGGCCGCCUGGGAAGUACGUCCGCAAGGAUGAAACUUAA
rnacentral:rRNA from 1 species